rnacentral:misc_RNA from 1 species
GUGAAGAACGUAGCGAAAUGCGAUAAGUAAUGUGAAUUGCAGAAUUCAGUGAAUCAUCGAAUCUUUGAACGCACCUUGCACCCUUUGGUAUUCCGAAGGGUAUGCUCGUUUGAGUGUCAUUGUACUCUCACACUUCUAAUUCCUUUCGGGAUUGGGAGCGGUGGACUUGGGUGUUGCUGCUUUAGUUGUGGCUCACCUCAAAUAAGUUAGUGCAACUCUUGGUUGGACAUAGUACGGCGUGAUAAGUGUCUUCGCCGGCGCCUCUGUAAGGAGGGUGGCCGAUCGGGAGCUCUGUGCUUCAAACCGUCUUCGGACAAUCUUUGACAACUUGACCUCAAAUCGAGUAGGACUACCCGCUGAACUUAAGCAUAUCAAUAAGCGGAGGA